rnacentral:lncRNA from 1 species
UUGGUGUUGAUGAGCCCAAUUCUGCAGUAUAUUUUGCACGCAUGUGUGGUCGUAUGUUGUCUGUGCAGUUCUAUACUGCGGGGUCUUUUUCAUGUAUGGGCUAUUUUUUGAGUUGUUUUAUUGUCUUUAUUUGUCUCGAUUAUUUUGUACUUUUAAUUUAGUUAAAAGUUGUGUGAGAACUCUGAUAUGUUUCACUGAAGGAUGUUUAGUGCACACAAUAUUUGUUUAAAUAUAUAAUAAUUAGAAGCUUUAGUUGGAAAAGAGUAAAACAAAUUAUAUAAGGUUUUUAUGCUCUUAAUUACGUAUUUAUAAUAUAAAUGGUUUGAUUUUCCUGUUUGAU